rnacentral:sRNA from 1 species
CAACAACUGAAAGGAGGUGAUCCAGUGUCUCAUAGCUCCAACCGCCAAGCGGUGACCGUGACCUGGACCUCCGUGAACGGGGUUCGCGCCUAGUCCUUACGACGGCAGGUCGCGCGCCGCCUUAGCGGUCCGACUAUGGAAAGCCCGCCCCAGCAAUGGGGCGGGCUU